rnacentral:pre_miRNA from 1 species
UACAUACUCCCUCCGUUCGGAAUUACUUGUCUCGGAAAUGGAUGUAUCUAGAACUAAAAUAUGUCUAGAUACAUCCAUUUUCACGACAAGUAAUUCCGAACGGAGGGAGUAUAUA